AUAGUUCACAAGGUGUCAGUUAACGCCCUCUCACGGCGAAAACAGGGGUUCGAGUCCCCUUGGGAGCGCCA
rnacentral:tRNA from 1 species